UUUGCUGCCCACAGAUCAGCAAACACACACUGGUGUGAUGUGGUUGCCAAGAUGAGAAGGAAUUUUCAGCUUCACCAGGGGGAACAGAUCCCAUUCUGCUGGGGCCAGUGGCAGCUGGAGCUUUGCCCUUGGUUCUGGGAACGCUCUGAGAUGGAUGACUGCGAGAUUUGCAGCAAGGAGGGCAAAGGGAUUGAGCACUACUCAAAAGGAGAGUGAGUAGCUAAAGAUGUUAGGGCUUCCUCCUCCCUUAGAGAACAGAAGUCUUGGCGUGUAACUCCUGGGCUCUGACAUCUGGGGAGUUUCGAAUGGAUGUCUCAGACAACACCAAAGAAGAAGAAAAAAACAUACCAAGAACCAGAGUUUAGUCAACCCUUCAGAUACUGCGUAAGCAUGUCUCAGAUUUGGGGGAAGGACUGUCCCCACCUCACCCCUGGGAGCAGCAGGAGGUGGGUCAACUUCAGCCAAGACCAGGAUGGAAGGGAUCCGACUGUUAGACGCGUGGCCGUCAGAGACACAGAGGACACAGCUAAUAGGAUGCAGAAAAGGCCCAGAGAGAAGCAUAUGGCUGACUGCCCCAGCUCCAGGAGGGACCCUGCUCAGGGAGGCAGGAAGAACAAAGGAGCACUCGUGCCCCUGAUCCCUGUGAUCCUCCACAGUCACAGAAGAAGGCCUAACAGGGAGCAGGGACCUGGCGAGGCUCCCACCGGCAUGUGGCCCAGGGGCCACCAUCUGGAAUGGAAGCCUGACACACAGCCCUGGGAGUGCCCUUACCUGACACCAGCCAUGGAAGUACCCUUUCUUCAGCUCUGCUACGUGACUGGCUCUCCGUGGAGUGUGUUGACAUCUCUGUCAUUCAGAGACGAAUAGUCUGUGUUAGACUUUGGUGUUUUGAAAUAAGUAUAGAAGAUUAUAUUGUACUAAACAUAGCCCAAAGUGCACUGUCUUAUCCAUGAGUAGCUAUGUAAUGACUAACUGUAUUCACACUGUUGGGCAAGGUAACAACUUUUGUAGGCCAUCUCAUUCCUACCUUCCAUACUGAUGUGCUGUCCCCAUCAAACACAGACUUCUCACUUCCCAC